rnacentral:lncRNA from 1 species
UAGUCACCAUCUUACACUGUGUUUAUGUUGAAGCUAUGCCACCUUCCCAGUAGGUUAUUUUGGCACUACAGCCCCCAAAUCGGGGAUUCAUACAUGGGGUUUUACAAACAGAAAACAACUCAGUGCAGACCUUUUAACUGCUCAGCAUGCGCUCCGACAGCUCGCUGCCAGCAGUACCACCGGCACGCCGGGCAGCCUGCAGAACCUCAGCGGCCCGAGGUUUUCCAGCUAUUUCGAGCACGGGGACAGGCUGCCCAGGCUGCUCCAACUGAUGGCGUUGGAGCAGCGUUAGGACACCGCUCUCAGCCAUGGCGGCUGAUUUUAGGGCGGUCCUGUGUGGAGCCAGGAGUUGGACUCUGAUCCUUGUGGAUCCCUUCCAACUCAGGAUAUUCUGGAGAAAAAAAAAAACAAAAAACAAAAAACAAAAAAAAACAUAACAGGGCAGCUCGGUGUGAGGGACAAGCAGGAGCCGCGGGCUCCCCACAGGGACGCCCUCCCCGCCCGCUCCCUCAGGGCGCUCCUGAGGUAACUCCAACGGCCGCCCCCACAGCGCGCACGCGCACGCCCAUCUCCGCCUAACGGCCGCCGCUGCCUGCGCGAGCCUCCGCGCAUGCGCGGCUCCGCUCCCCCCCUCCCAGCUGCGGCCCGCGUGACGUCACCGCGCCGGGCGGAGCGGGGCGUGGCGGGAGGGCCGGGGCGCGAUUUUUCAAAAUGGAGGCGGCGGGGGGGGGGAGCGGCCGCCGGGCCCGCGAGGCAGCGGGGCUGGGCCGAGGCGGGCGGCGGCGGGCGGCGUGAGGGCGAUGGGGAGCCGCGGCCGGCGCCCCGGGGACAGCUCCUAGCGGCAGCCGGGCGGCGAGAGAGCGGCCGGACGGCGCCAUGGCGACCUGCAUCGGCGAGAGCAUCGAGGACUUCAAGGUGGGGAACCUCCUGGGAAAGGGCUCGUUCGCCGGGGUCUACAGAGCGGUGUCCCUGAAAACGGGUCUGGAAGUGGCUAUCAAAAUGGUAAGGCAGCCAGCACGGGGAUCUCGGCCUUCUCAGAGUUAUCGAGGGCAGGCUGCAGCAGGCUGCGUGUUAUGGCUUUGGGCGUUUGUGCCUGGUCACUCGUU